rnacentral:rRNA from 1 species
UCAGUCGACUCCUACGGGGAGGCAGCAGUGGGGAAUAUUGCACAAUGGGGGAAACCCUGAUGCAGCCAUGCCGCGUGUGUGAAGAAGGCCUUCGGGUUGUAAAGCACUUUCAGUAGGGAGGAAGGUAGUGUAGUUAACACCUGCACUAUUUGACGUUACCUACAGAAGAAGCACCGGCUAACUCCGUGCCAGCAGCCGCGGUAAUACGGAGGGUGCGAGCGUUAAUCGGAAUUACUGGGCGUAAAGCGCAUGCAGGCGGCCUGUUAAGUCAGAUGUGAAAGCCCGGGGCUUAACCUCGGAAUUGCAUUUGAAACUGGCAGGCUAGAGUCUUGUAGAGGGGGGUAGGAAUUUCAGGUGUAGCGGUGAAAUGCGUAGAGAUCUGAAGGAAUACCAGUGGCGAAGGCGGCCCCCUGGACAAAGACUGACGCUCAGAUGCGAAAGCGUGGGGAGCAAACAGGAUUAGAUACCCUGGUAG